ACGAAGUAAACAUACAGAUAUCAACUUUAAAAUGGCGUAUGUACUAAAAUCAUGGCCAGAACUAAAUCUCAUGCAAGCUAGCACUGUAGAAAAUAUUAUAAAGAGGCAACAUCCUGAGUUUCAGAUAGUGAUAUUGUUAGCAGGAAGUCCAGUGACCAAAGAUCUUAAACAUGGACGAGUUCGACUGUUUAUAAAUAUAGCCGGUUUUGUGGUUCAAAUUCCUCACGAGGGCUAAAAUGUCUUAAAUAUAUAUGUUUGAGAUAAUGCAUAAAUAAAGAAUAAUAUUUCCGCUACUAAACAUAUUUGUAGCUUGAGCA